rnacentral:rRNA from 1 species
GAUGAACGCUGGCGGCGUGCCUAAUACAUGCCAGUCGAGCGAACGGACGAGAAGCUUGCUUCUCUGAUGUUAGCGGCGGACGGGUGAGUAACACGUGGAUAACCUACCUAUAAGACUGGGAUAACUUCGGGAAACCGGAGCUAAUACCGGAUAAUAUUUUGAACCGCAUGGUUCAAAAGUGAAAGACGGUCUUGCUGUCACUUAUAGAUGGAUCCGCGCUGCAUUAGCUAGUUGGUAGGGUAACGGCUUACCAAGGCAACGAUGCAUAGCCGACCUAAGAGGGUGAUCGGCCACACUGGAACUGAGACACGGUCCAGACUCCUACGGGAGGCAGCAGUAGGGAAUCUUCCGCAAUGGGCGAAAGCCUGACGGAGCAACGCCGCGUGAGUGAUGAAGGUCUUCGGAUCGUAAAACUCUGUUAUUAGGGAAGAACAUAUGUGUAAGUAACUGUGCACAUCUUGACGGUACCUAAUCAGAAAGCCACGGCUAACUACGUG